rnacentral:lncRNA from 1 species
AGGAAAAACAAGUCUACUAGGCUCACUUGAAGGAAUUGAUUUUAGAGUUCUGAAUGCUGAAACUCGCAACCUGUUUUUCUGGCAACCUUUUAACAUGCAGGGGAAACUAGUCACAAACUCCUGGCUUUAUAGAGAAAGUGAUUCCGCAAAUACUUCAGUGGUUUAAGGCUCUUGCUAUGUAGUUUAUGUACCCCAUCAUACCCGGCUUCCAUUCCACAGUGAAUGAGUGGAUGAUACCUUUGUCCCUGGGGAAGAUGGUUUUGAUUUGUAGUUGCAUUCUUUGAGGUGGAGGGAGAACCCAGCAGGUGACAGUGGUCCUUGUCUGGGAUGAGUCUCUAGGCAUGGGAAGGAUGGGGAUAGAAUGAGCAUGGGAUUUGACGACUAAUGUUAGGACCAAGUGAUAGAACCUGGUGGGUGUGGAUUUCCAUGAAUACCAGCCUGUGAUCUGGAAUCUUGUGAGAAUGAGUCACACCUUGUCUCCCAUUAUUGAUAUGUAGCAUUGACUUUAAACUUGAUAACUGAAUGUCUCUCACCUGGCCCCUUGCUGGUUCUUCAGAGAGAACCAUGUGUACUGCUGGGGGAAUGACUGGUUUUUGGAUUCUGUACAUUCCGUGGGAACUUGCUUCCCUUUCCUGCCCCUCCUGCUGACUGGGUUUGCAGCAUUGGCCUCUCUAAGCAAUGCCAGCCUAAUGCCCAUGCCCUAUACUACUGUCUUUCGAUUCUUACUGUGGCUAACCUUGGAAUUUUCCUAUAGGAAAUGUGAUCAGAUCAGAGACACUUGACUGUUGGGAGUCAGCCCUCAAGGCUUGGUGAGUCCCAGGAUCUUGGAGUUGCUAGAGGAAUGUAGUCACACCAUGUAGGUGGCAUGAGAGAAAAGGAAUCAGUUUACCUGCCAACUCCUACUAUGGAGCCUUCCACUGACCUUGUGUAGAAAGAUCAGGGAUCCAGGCUAGAGUGACUGAAUGCUGAC